rnacentral:lncRNA from 1 species
GAUGAAAAGGUUGAAGUUUGGGGUUGUAUGGGGGGAAAUUGAAAAAAAGCAAGUAAAAGGCAUUGAGCUCAAUAUUUGUGAAAAGAGAAAAAUUCAUGAGAAAAAGAAAAGAAAAGAAGAAAAGCAUNAANANGAGCUCAAUGAAAAAGAAAAGAAAAGGGAAGAAGUUGGGAAUGAGAGAUAUUGGUGAGAGAGUUGUGCUUAAAUGUUGAAUAUUUUGUUAGCUCUCUUGACUCAAGGAUUUUGCAUUCUAGAAAAACCAAUGCUUUCUUGUUAGCCCAACCUCAUUACAAGCCUUGGAAAAGUCCUUUUGAUGGCGUUUGCAUGUAAAGAUGUUGAUUGUUUGAGAUGAAUGACAAUUUUGUUUCAUGCGACUUAUGAAUAAUUGAGAGUUGGAGUGUCACCUUAAACACUUGAGUGAUUGAGUGAAACACUUGCUUGGUAUAAUUUGUUAAUUUUCAUGAGUACAUUUUUGCUUAGUGGAUUGAUCAUUCAUAGU